rnacentral:lncRNA from 1 species
ACAAACCUCCACAAGAAGCCUCAGACAAGGAGAAGAGAAAAUAUCACAAAGGUCCGGGCUAGUAACCUACAAAAAAAAAUAUAGUAGCAAGAGGUGAGUACCAAACCACACGGUACUCAGCAAGUAAACCUCUAAACACAAGCUAAGGGGAUAGAAUACGGGUACUACUUACACCCCAACCGAACCUCCACAACUACAACCUGCAUAAAACCAGUCUAACCUAACAGUUCACAAUUUACAAACGCAUAUCUCAACAACAACAUUCUAACAAUCACAUAUUCUCAACAACAAGCUCAAUAUUCAUCAAUUACAACUGCCACAACUACAACCUGCUUAAAACCAGUCUAACCUAACAAUUUAUAAUUCACAUAGCACACAGCUCAACAACAACACUCUAACAAUUACAUAUCCUCAACAACAUGCUCAAUAUUCAUCAAUCAAAGUUCCAUAGAAAGGCACUCACAAGAUCAGCAAAACACAAUAUCAAGUUCACUAAUGAUAAAUAUGUGCAAUGCAAUGUCAAGUAUAGUGAUGCAUGUCUGACCUAGUGAUACACACCCGUAGUCUCUAAGUCUGGGACCCAUGGGGGACAUAUUUGUCCAUUCAUUCAUCGCGGCGCGCGAUACGACCCUCGAUAAUAGUAACCAUCGCGGCGCGCGAUACGUCCCUCAAAAUAUAAUAUCCAUCACGGCGCGCGAUACGUCCCUCGAAAUGGUACAUCCUCUUUAAUUUCUUAUUCUUUCUCAGUUCACAUAACACUUGUCACAACAAUGUCUCAGAACAAUGCAAAUGACAUGUUCACACAAAUAAUGAGGAGAUGACCAUUUUCAUAACAUUGCACAAUUCACAACAACACAAUCAUGAUACAACAUCAACAACGAUUCAACAAGCCUUUCAAACCAUUCUCAACACAUCACACACAAACAAUUAAUCACAUUGCAUUUUAUUAUCCCUUUUUCAUCCUUAGAAUUAAUCAGUGUGGACAAGUCAACCCAUCACCAAGUCUCAUUACCCCCAAACACAUAUUACAAGGAAAUACACAAAUUUCAUACACUUAACAAGAGUUUAGAAAUCCACUUGCCUCAAGUAAUCGAACAAUCACUCCGGGACUUGAGCCUUUCCCUUUCGCUGAGCUUCCAAAUCAAUGCAAAUCUAAUCAAGUACAUAAUCACAAUAAGAUUUUGAAACUAGCAACACCCAUUUUACUAUAGGUUAGCCUAGACCCAAAAACUCACUCAAUUUAUAAUCAAAUUCCUAAAUCUUGAUUCCAACCAAUAGGUCAAAUCUCAUAUUUCCUAAAUUUCAAGUCUAAGGUUAAGUCAUAAUUUCUCCAAACACUACAACCCUGAGAUUUUCAUAUAAUAUAAUAUACCCAGUAUUCAAUUUCACAUCUUAAUAUAUCAAAACUUGAAUCACAAUGUGAUAACUAGAUAUUAACUAAUGUCAAAUAUUAGUGAUGUGCCUCAAAACAAUUUGCAGAUUAACAUAUUUCUAAUGUUCAACUAUAAACAUUAAUUCACUAAACUAUUAGCUCCACAAUCACGUCCAAUGAUUAGGCCAUCAUUGUCCAAUGAUUAGGUCUCAUUGGACAAUGAUUAGGCAUUAGAAAUCAACCAGAUUCUUACCCCAACUUCAAUACAUACGCCACUGACUUUGUUUCAACUUUUCCUAUUCAAUUUUCUUACUUUCUUUUACAACCAACAUUGCAGUAAUAAUCAUUAAAAUACGACAUAAGCCAAUAAAAAUGUCAAACCUAUAUUCGUUCAUCAAUUGGUAUCAAUAUAUAAUAACUUGUCACUCACAUUUUG